rnacentral:rRNA from 1 species
AGUGAACGCUGGCGGUAGGCCUAACACAUGCAAGUCGAACGGCAGCACAGUAAGUUCUUGCUCUUACGGGUUGCGGGUGGCGGACGUGUGACGUAUAUAUCGUAACCUACUUUUUCGUGUGGGUUAACGAAGGGAAACCUACUCUCGUAUCGCAUCCGAUCUUCCGUUGUAAGCAGGGGAUCUUCGCACCUUGUGCGCUUGCAUGAGCCGCUGCUGGGUUGGCUGGUUGGCGGGGUAAAGGCCCACCACGGCGCGGAUCCGUAGCUGGUCUGAGAGGAUGAUCGGCCACACUGGAACUGGGACACGGACCAGACUCCUACGGGAGGCAGCAGUGGGGAAUAUUGGACAAUGGGCGCAAGCCUGAUCCAGCCAGCCCGCGUGGGUGAAAAAGGCGUUGGGGUUGUAAAGACCGUUUGUUGGGAAAGAAAAGCAGCAGGUUGAUACGCCGCUGUUCUGACGGUACCCAAAGAAUAAGCACCGGCUAACUACGUG